rnacentral:tRNA from 1 species
GAGCUGGGGCUCAGAGGUAGAGCGCUUGCCUAGCAUGUGUGAGGCACUGGGUUUGAUUCUCAGCACCACA